GUGCUCACUUUGCCAGAACAUAGACUAAAAUUGGAACAAUACAGAGAUUAGCAUGGCCCCUGUGCAAGGAUAACAUGCAAUUUUGUGAAGGAUUCCUUAUUAAA
ensembl:snRNA U6 U6 spliceosomal RNA